AUUGUAGCUUUUUAGCUCUCCUUUCCAUUUUAAUUUUUUUUAAUUUUAAUUUUUAUUGUUUUAGAGUUUACAAUGUCAAAUAAGCACAAACCAUUUUAAGGAUGUUUGUUAGAUGACCAAAUCUUUGAGCUGACAUUGUUUAAUGUAAUAAAAGAUACAUAUUUAUGUACACUUCAUAUUUCACAUCCAUAAAUUGAUUUUGUAGGGCUGGUCAUCCAGUUCUAAAUUUGUUGUCUAACACAAUGCAUUAAAAAAAACAAAAAAACAGAUUGAACUUUAAUAUAUGAAUUUAAAAACAAUUUUAACUGUAUGUAGCAUAUACAAGAAAACAUUUAAAGAGGUAUCUGUCUUCUGACAAUUGUAUUAAUGUAUGAGAAAUGCUUUGAAAGCUUGAUUUUUAAGUUUUUACAAAUGCUAUAUUUUACAAUAGCUACAUUGAAAAUCAACACACAUCUCUCAGCUUCUAACCUAAUUGUACAUCUCCUUGAAGCAGGGAGCUUUGGAGACCAGCGUUUAAACCAAAUUUUUUUAUUAAACAGAAUGCACAGACAGUAAACGGGUACAACAACUUGUACUGUCUAGUUUGUGUUUUACUACUGUUUGCUUGACCUGCAUAUAUAUUUUUUUAUACCUAAACAUACACACAUACUUACAUACCUACAUACACACACAUAGACAACUUCCUGAUUUCAGACAUUUGCUUUAAACAUUCACAGAAAAUAUAGUAGAG